rnacentral:rRNA from 1 species
GUAAUGAUGGCCAGGCUGUCUCCACCCGAGACUCAGUGAAAUUGAACUCGCUGUGAAGAUGCAGUGUACCCGCGGCAAGACGGAAAGACCCCGUGAACCUUUACUAUAGCUUGACACUGAACAUUGAGCCUUGAUGUGUAGGAUAGGUGGGAGGCUUUGAAGCGUGGACGCCAGUCUGCGUGGAGCCGACCUUGAAAUACCACCCUUUAAUGUUUGAUGUUCUAACGUGGACCCGUAAUCCGGGUUGCGGACAGUGUCUGGUGGGUAGUUUGACUGGGGCGGUCUCCUCCUAAAGAGUAACGGAGGAGCACGAAGGUUGGCUAAUCCUGGUCGGACAUCAGGAGGUUAGUGCAAUGGCAUAAGCCAGCUUGACUGCGAGCGUGACGGCGCGAGCAGGUGCGAAAGCAGGUCAUAGUGAUCCGGUGGUUCUGAAUGGAAGGGCCAUCGCUCAACGGAUAAAAGGUACUCCGGGGAUAACAGGCUGAUACCGCCCAAGAGUUCAUAUCGACGGCGGUGUUUGGCACCUCGAUGUCGGCUCAUCACAUCCUGGGGCUGAAGUAGGUCCCAAGGGUAUGGCUGUUCGCCAUUUAAAGUGGUACGCGAGCUGGGUUUAGAACGUCGUGAGACAGUUCGGUCCCUAUCUGCCGUGGGCGCUGGAGAACUGAGGGGGGCUGCUCCUAGUACGAGAGGACCGGAGUGGACGCAUCACUGGUGUUCGGGUUGUCAUGCCAAUGGCACUGCCCGGUAGCUAAAUGCGGAAGAGAUAAGUGCUGAAAGCAUCUAAGCACGAAACUUGCCCCGA